rnacentral:rRNA from 1 species
AUUGAACGCUGGCGGCAUGCUUUACACAUGCAAGUCGAACGGCAGCGGGGACUUCGGUCCGCCGGCGAGUGGCGAACGGGUGAGUAAUGCAUCGGAACGUGCCUAUCAGUGGGGGAUAACGCUUCGAAAGGAGUGCUAAUACCGCAUAUUCUCUGAGGAGGAAAGCAGGGGACCUUCGGGCCUUGCGCUGAUAGAGCGGCCGAUGUCGGAUUAGCUAGUUGGUGAGGUAAAGGCUCACCAAGGCGACGAUCCGUAGCGGGUCUGAGAGGAUGAUCCGCCACACUGGGACUGAGACACGGCCCAGACUCCUACGGGAGGCAGCAGUGGGGAAUUUUGGACAAUGGGCGAAAGCCUGAUCCAGCCAUGCCGCGUGAGUGAAGAAGGCCUUCGGGUUGUAAAGCUCUUUUGUCCGGGAGGAAAUCCUGGCCUCUAAUACAGGUCGGGGAUGACAGUACUGGAAGAAUAAGCACCGGCUAACUACGUGCCAGCAGCCGCGGUAA